UACGUAGGGCGCAAGCGUUGUCCGGAAUUAUUGGGCGUAAAGAGCUCGUAGGCGGCCUGUUACGUCUGCUGUGAAAUCCCGGGGCUUAACCCCGGGCGUGCAGUGGAUACGGGCAAACUGGAGUACUGCAGGGGAGACUGGAAUUCCUGGUGUAGCGGUGAAAUGCGUAGAUAUCAGGAGGAACACCUGUGGCGAAAGCGGCUCACUGGACCAUAACUGACGCUGAUGCACGAAAGCUAGGGGAGCAAACAGG
rnacentral:rRNA from 1 species